rnacentral:rRNA from 1 species
ACAGCAGCCGCCGCGGGAAUACAGAGGGUGCGAGCGUUAAUCGGAUUUACUGGGCGUAAAGCGUGCGUAGGCGGCUUCUUAAGUCGGAUGUGAAAUCCCUGAGCUUAACUUAGGAAUUGCAUUCGAUACUGGGAAGCUAGAGUAUGGGAGAGGAUGGUAGAAUUCCAGGUGUAGCGGUGAAAUGCGUAGAGAUCUGGAGGAAUACCGAUGGCGAAGGCAGCCAUCUGGCCUAAUACUGACGCUGAGGUACGAAAGCAUGGGGAGCAAACAGGAUUAGAGACCCGAGUAGUCCCUGUCUCUUAUAC